rnacentral:lncRNA from 1 species
CCCGCGCUCCUCCGGGCAGAGCGCGUGUGGCGGCCGAGCACAUGGGCCCGCGGGCCGGGCGGGCUCGGGGCGGCCGGGACGAGGAGGGGCGACGACGAGCUGCGAGCAAAGAUGUGCCCCGGGACCCCCGGCACCUUCCAGUGGAUUUCCUUGCGGAAAGGAUGUUGGCGGUCCCUGUGACCUGUGGAGACACGGCCAGAUCUGCCCUCCAGCCUGAUCUUUUGGCCAGAAGGAGAUUAAAAAGAUGCCCCUCAAGAUGGCUGUGCCUGUCAGCUGCAUGGAGCUUCGUUCAAGUAUUUUCUGAGCCUGAUGGAUUUACAGUGAUCUUCAGUGGUCUGGGGAAUAACGCUGGUGGAACCAUGCACUGGAAUGACACACGCCCGGCACAUUUCAGGAUACUAAAAGUGGUUUUAAGGGAGGCUGUGGCUGAAUGCCUCAUGGAUUCUUACAGCUUGGAUGUCCAUGGGGGACGAAGGACUGCAGCUGGCUGAGAGGGUUGAGAUCUCUGUUUACUUAGAUCUCUGCCAACUUCCUUUGGGUCUCCCUAUGGAAUGUAAGACCCCGACUCUUCCUGGUGAAGCAUCUGAUGCACGUUCCAUCCGGCGCUCAGCUGGGCUUGAGCUGACCAUACUCCCUGGAGCCUUCUCCCGAGGUGCGCGGGUGACCUUGGCACAUACAGCCAUCAUGAUGGUACUUUAAGUGGAGGCUGAAUCAUCUCCCCUUUGAGCUGCUUGGCACGUGGCUCCCUUGGUGUUCCCCUUUUACUGCCAGGACACUGAGAUUUGGAGAGAAUCCUGUUACACCUGGGAUUUAGGCACUUUCAAUCUGAAAAAAUACAUAUCCUUUCAGCACUCUGGACGGACUUGAGAACUGUCCUUACGUGACCUAAAGCUGGAGUAUUUUGAGAUUGGAGAAUUAAGAGUGUGGGCACCCUGGCUUCAAGCUCACGAGAAACCAGAAGGAAGUCACUGUGCAUAGCCAUCCCCUAAGAAGAGGGCAUUCCUGCUCUUCCUUCUCCAUGGCUAGAGGAUCUACAUGAACUAUUUAGAUUUUUUCUACCUGGGAGAUUUAACUCCUCUCUCCUAUUUAUUUAUUUAUAUAUCAGCAUGGACUUGCAGGUCUGUGCCAGGAAGCCCUGCGUGCUGUCUGCACCCCGUUUGGCUGCUUGCCCACAACCAUGACUGCUCCUGAGGGGCUCGCCAGCAGCACUGUUUCCCAGCCUGCUGUGCAUAAAGGCCAACAGAGAUUUUGAGAAACACAUUGAAGGAUCUGUUAACACUUGAUAUACCCAAUAAAAGCAGUGGUUGUGCCAGUGCUGAUCUGUCUUGAUGUGAAUGUGAACAAUGGGAACCUGAGCUGAGCAGUUAAUGCUAGGGUGACAGAAACUGGACCUCUCCCAAGACAUGUGACAGAGUAAUACAGCAGCCAACUUCUUCGCCAAAUUAAAGUUUUACAAGAUUUAACCUGUCAUCAAGACCUGGGAUUUUGGUGAGCCAGUCUUGGUGCUCUGUGUUCACCUGGUUCAUCUGAGGAGCUGCAUCUACCCUGCCCAUGCCAUAGAUCCUGCCCUGUUUGCUUCUCCUGUUGCUGCUAGUGGACAUGAGAAGGACAGAAUAACGGGCUCCCAGAUUCACAAGCCCCACCAAGAGGAUCACCCCAGGAACGCUUGGAGGCUGAGGAGUUCACUGAGGCUACUGCAUCUUGAGACUCAGGAUGAAGACCCAGCUUGGGGCUGUCAAAGGUUUUUUGCAUGUCUGACACCCAUGACUCCACCUGGACCUUAUGGCUCCACCCAGAAGCAAUUCAGCCCAACAGGAGGACAGCUUCAACCCAUUACGAUUUCAUCUCUGCCCCAACCACUCAGCAGCAAGCACCUGUUACCUGUCCACCCCCACCCCUUCCCCCAAACUGCCUUUGAAAAAUCCCUAACCUAUGAGCUUUGAAUAAGAUGAGUACGAACUUCAUCGCCCACGUGGCGUGGCCGGCCUCGUGUCUAUUAAAUUCUUUUUCUACUACAA